GGCGUUUCUUGGCCUCUUAAGGCUAAGAUCAAGCAUAGUAUCUGUUCUUACCAGCGUAAUGUCUGAUAUGUUCUGUAUUUGAGAACUUUACAUCAUGGCACUGUUUACAGAAAGAGAAAUGAGGCAUUCAAAGAAAAGAACACAAUCCCUA
rnacentral:snRNA from 1 species